rnacentral:tRNA from 1 species
GGGCCUGUGGCGCAGUUGGCUAGCGCGCCUGUAUGGCAUACAGGAGGUCAGGGGUUCGAAUCCCCUCAGGUCCA